CACGUAGGCACCAAGCGUUGUCCGGAUUUAUUGGGCGUAAAGAGCUCGUAGGCGGUUCAGUAAGUCGGGUGUGAAAACUUUGGGCUUAACCCAAAGCGUGCUCCGAUACUGCUGUGACUUGAGUACGGUAGGGGAGCGGGGAAUUCCUAGUGUAGCGGUGAAAUGCGCAGAUAUUAGGAGGAACACCGGUGGCGAAGGCGCCGCUCUGGGCCGAAACUGACGCU
rnacentral:rRNA from 1 species